rnacentral:ncRNA from 2 species
CUCUUAUCGAGAGAGGUGGAGGGAUGUGCCCUAUGAAACCCGGCAACCGGCAAGGAUUUCCUUGAAAAGGUGCCAAUUCACAAAAAGCUGAUAAAGCUUUUAGAGAUGAGAG